rnacentral:antisense_RNA from 1 species
GAUACAGUCACUGUCUUGGCAGUACGACAUUGCUCACAUUGCUUCCAGUGUUUAGUUUAGCCAGCCUUGUGCUGGCUACUUUUU